rnacentral:lncRNA from 1 species
AUGUUGAAGGCAUAUGAGAUGUCAGAUAAUGAAUGUGUUGUGAUGGGUCAUUUUUGUUCUUUAUUCCAGAAUCUAUCCUCCCAACUGAUACUGACACCUCAAUUGUACUUAAGGGGCACCACCCCUCCGCCAUUGGAUGAAAUGUUACUUUGUCUGUUUACAUGGACAAAUGAAAAAAUAAUGAGAAACUAAUGUUGUGAGAGAAAUAGUAAGUUUGAAGACAUUUUGUCUGAUUUCAUACCCUAUUAGAAGAAUAUCUUGAUUUUAAAACUGCUGCUCAUUUUUGUGUUGCUGGCUCAUUAUUCAAGUGGAUAUGUAGUUAGAUCUAAGGCCAUUCUGUUACUGAUGAGCUCUGAAAUGAAGGCUUAUGUUUUUGUCCUAAAACAGAAUGCAUUUUAAAUUAGAAAGUUAUGUCAAGAAUCAGAACUGCUUAAACCAUGAGUGGCUUCUCAACUUGGGUGAAAUUAGUAGCAGGUUUUUACUCAUCAAGAAGAUAAAGUCAGCAAUGGUUUUAGACAUUAUGAUUUCUGAGAUUUUUAUGAUACUUUUUUCAUAAGACUAUGUCCCGUUCAGAUGCCCAAAUACAAUUUUAACUGAAUGCAUAUCUAUAUAUGCAUAUACAUGUUUUAAUUUAAGCACUAUUUAAAUUGUUUUAUAUACCAUAGUACUCUUGCUUGAUUUGAAAAAUACAGGUUCGGCCGGGCACGGUGGCUCAAGCCUGUAAUCCCAGCACUUUGGGAGGCCGAGACGGGCGGAUCACGAGGUCAGGAGAUCAAGACCAUCCUGGCUAACACAAUGAAACCCCGUCUCUACUAAAAAUACAAAAAAAAAAUUAGCUGGGCGAGGUGGCGGCGCCUGUAGUCCCAGCUACUCGGGAGGCUGAGGCAGGAGAAUGGCGUGAACCCGGGAGGCAGAGCUUGCAGUGAGCCGAGAUCGCGCCACUGCACUCCAGCCUGGGCGAUAGAGCGAGACUCCGUCUCAAAAAAAAAAAAAAAAAAAAAAAAAAAAAAAGAAAAAUACAGGUUCACACACUAAAAGCCCUGACCUCACCAUUAUGCAAUAUAUACACGUAACAAAACUGCACUUGUGCCCCUUAAAUUUAUACAAAUAAAAUACCCAAGUUCAACAAUUGAUAACAAAUAUUGUUAUUUUUCAAUUAAACUUGAAAAAAAAAAGAUGGGCUAGGCACGAUGGCUCACACCUGUAAUCCCAGCACUUUGGGAGGCCAAGGUGGUUGGAUCAUAAGGUCAGGUGUUUGAGACCAGCCUGGCCAACAUAGUGAAACCUCAUCUCUAUUAAAAAUACAAAAAAAAAAAAAAAAAAAAAAAGAAGAAACGUUAGCCGGACUUGGUGGUGGGCCCCUGUAAUCCCAGCUACUGAAAAAACAAACAAAACAAAACAAAAAACAAAAUCUAAUGAUGUGAGCAAUUGUUUAAAAGCAAAAUAUCUUAAGACUUUUUUUUUUUGAGACAGAGUCUUGCUCUGUCACCCAGGCUGGAGUGCAGUGGUGCAAUCUCGACUCACUGCAACCUCUGCUUCCCAGGUUCAAGUGAUUCUCCUGCCUCAGCCCCUGGCUAAUUUCUGUAUUUUUUGUAGAGACAGGGUUUCACCCUAUUUGCCAGGCUGGUCUCGAACUCCUGACCUCAGGUGAUCCUUCUACCUCAGCCUCCCAAAGUGCUGGGAUUAUAGGUGUGAGCCACUGCACCUGGCUAUCAUAAGACAAUGAAAAAAACAGCAUUUCCUACACCAUGCUUUCCAACUUCAUGUCUCAUUCUGGAUAUAAUAGCCACCUUUAACUCUUAAUUGCUUAUUCUGGUAUUUACCUCUAUUUUUCUAAAUAAUAUUUUUAUACAAUCAUUUCUUGAGUUUUUAGUUUCAGAUUUUAUCUCUUGACUUUCUACUAUGAAAUAUAAUCUGUCAGCUUUUUUAUACAUUGCUCCUUUCCCAUAUCUUUUAAAGUAUGUGAUAAUAUUUGGUUAAAUCAAUAUUCAAUGUUUGUAUUAUUAAUAUUAUGACUAUGUAUGAAUUAUUCACAGCCAAGCCACAUAUUGUGCUGUAAUUAAAUUUCCUUUCUACUAGAACUUCUGUUUUUCCCAGGCAUUAAUGAUUAUGCUGUUCCCUUUUGUCUGCUUAGUUUUCUAUUUGAUUAUCACUAAUUCAUCA